UACGGAGGGUGCGAGCGUUGUCCGGAAUCACUGGGCGUAAAGGGCGCGUAGGCGGCGCGGGAAGUCAUCGGUGAAAGUUCAGGGCUCAACUCUGAAUCGGCCGGUGAUACUCUCGUGCUCGAACACUGUAGAGGCAGGUGGAAUUCCGGGUGUAGCGGUGGAAUGCGUAGAGAUCCGGAAGAACACCGGUGGCGAAGGCGGCCUGCUGGGCAGUAGCUGACGCUGAUGCGCGACAGCGUGGGGAGCAAACAGG
rnacentral:rRNA from 1 species